CUUACUAAGAAAAUAUGGACUAUGAUUGAUUUGUGGUUUCUUGGGGAGCUAUCUACCAUCAUUCAAAAUUUUGAUUUUUCUUUUGCAGUUUCCAGUGGUCUAAAUGAUUCAGAUGGAAAUGUAGUCUCUUGAGUUGUUGGACAAAUUAAUGGUCAUAUCUUUUGAGCAUCUUGAAUCCUGUCAAAAUGCUGGUCGUUGAGUACAUGAGAUGUCUUGGCUUAGACUCAUUUUGCUUUCAUCUGCAGUUCCUGCUGUUUGUUAUAUGUGUGCUCACUGUAUCCUGAAAGUUGUGGUGUGAAAUUUGCCAGUAAGUUGUUUGACAUAUUUCUCGAGUUACUAGCUGAGUUUCAUCUUAUCAUCCGUCGCAUUGGAUAAUUUUCACUCUCUUUCUCACCCGUUUACUUGUCAAAUCUUGAAGCUUUUAUUUUAUCUCUUUGAACUUCAUCUACUUGUCCAUGCCUCCAUGGUGAAAAUGGUUAUCACAAAGACGAUGAGGAUGAGCUUUUUGCUCAAGUCAUAGUGAAUGGACAUACAGACAGUGAAGGAGGACUGUGGUGUUGACGUUGUUUUUGAUAACGAGGUGAGCAAGAAUGUCUAUUACUCCUAAACACUCCUUUAUGUGCGAAAUAGAGAGGCUCUUGAAAAUACCUUCUAGAAUCAGACCAUUAACUAGUCCUCAUGAAUCUCUCUGACUCUGGUGGUGGGAAG